rnacentral:lncRNA from 1 species
CUAAACUUUGUUGAUGGCUUUAUCCCUCCAAACUGAAGCUUAGUCAUUCAACCAUGUUUGAUCAAUUAACACAUGGCCAGUGAUUCUGGCUUUUCAGAACUGAGUUGUACAACAUUAAUAUAAGGUGUGGGAUUUUUAACUUUCUAUUUCUCCAGCACAUUCUGGUCCCUAAGAGACAUAACACAAAAAAAGAUGCUUUAUUUAUUUAUUUAUUUAUUUAUUAUUUUUUGAGACGGAGUCUUGC